rnacentral:rRNA from 1 species
UACGGAGGGUGCAAGCGUUAUCCGGAUUCACUGGGUUUAAAGGGUGCGUAGGUGGGCAGGUAAGUCAGUGGUGAAAUCCCCGGGCUUAACUUGGGAACUGCCGUUGAUACUAUCUGUCUUGAAUACCGUGGAGGUGAGCGGAAUAUGUCAUGUAGCGGUGAAAUGCUUAGAUAUGACAUAGAACACCCAUUGCGAAGGCAGCUCACUACACGGUAAUUGACACUGAGGCACGAAAGCGUGGGGAGCAAACAGG